UACGAAGGGGACUAGCGUUAAUCGGAAUUACUGGGCGUAAAGCGCGCGUAGGCGGCUUUGUAAGUCGGUUGUGAAAUCCCCGGGCUUAACCUGGGAACUGCAUCCGAGACUGCAUGGCUAGAGUAUGGGAGAGGGAAGUGGAAUUUCAGGUGUAGCGGUGAAAUGCGUAGAUAUCUGAAGGAACAUCAGUGGCGAAAGCGACUUCCUGGACCAAUACUGACGCUCAUGUGCGAAAGCGUGGGGAGCAAACAGG
rnacentral:rRNA from 1 species